rnacentral:rRNA from 1 species
AAUACGUAGGGGGCAAGCGUUGUCCGGAUUUAUUGGGCGUAAAGAGCGUGUAGGCGGCCAGGCAGGUCCGCUGUGAAAACUCGAGGCUCAACCUCGAGAGGUCGGUGGAAACCGUCUGGCUAGAGUCCGGAAGAGGAGAGUGGAAUUCCCGGUGUAGCGGUGAAAUGCGCAGAUAUCGGGAGGAACACCCGUGGCGAAGGCGGCUCUCUGGGACGGUACUGACGCUGAGACGCGAAAGCGUGGGGAGCGAACAG